GUGGGGAAUCUUCCGCAAUGGACGAAAGUCUGACGGAGCAACGCCGCGUGAGUGAAGAAGGUCUUCGGAUUGUAAAGCUCUGUCGUUUGGGACGAACGUAUCCUGUGUGAAUAAUGCAGGGUAAUGACGGUACCAAAGGAGGAAGCCACGGCUAACUACGUGCCAGCAGCCGCGGUAAUACGUAGGUGGCAAGCGUUGUCCGGAAUUAUUGGGCGUAAAGGGCGUGUAGGUGGGUAAUUAAGUCUUGUGUCUAAGUGCGGAGCUCAACUCCGUAUGGGCGCAGGAAACUGGAUACCUUGAGUGCAGGAGAGGAAAGUGGAAUUCCCAGUGUAGCGGUGAAAUGCGUAGAUAUUGGGAGGAACACCAGUGGCGAAGGCGACUUUCUGGACUGUGUCUGACACUGAGGCGCGAAAGCUAGGGGAGCGAACGGGAUUAGAUACCCUUGUAGUCC
rnacentral:rRNA from 1 species